rnacentral:rRNA from 1 species
UACGUAGGUGACAAGCGUUGCCCGGAUUUACUGGGCGUAAAGAGCGCGCAGGCGGUCGACCAAGUCGAGUGUGAAAGCCCCCGGCUCAACUGGGGAGGGUCAUUCGAUACUGAUCGACUCGAAGGCAGGAGAGGGUAGUGGAAUUCCCGGUGUAGUGGUGAAAUGCGUAGAUAUCGGGAGGAACACCAGUGGCGAAGGCGACUACCUGGCCUGUUCUUGACGCUGAGGCGCGAAAGCUAGGGGAGCAAACGGG